AGCUUUUUUCGACCUGCUCUCAUUAGAUCACUGGUCGAACAAAAAAAAAAACUUUUUCUCUCUCGACCUAGCCGUCUAGAAAAAUUUUUGUUUGGCCGGCGGUUGGUGGCUUCCACAGCACCGUCGUCAGCCUGCUCCCUUGUAUUUAAGUAGUUUCUCUUCUUAGUAGUUUCUAGUUUGCCUUUCUAGCUUUCUCAAACCUUAACUUUGUCGUCUCCUCCUUGUGGCGGUUUGGUGUUGUUCUUAUGUGGAUCUAUUCCGAAAAGAGGUUUGCUUAUCCUUUGAUUCAUGGUUAAGAAACUCCAAAGUAAGUAGAGAGACUCUUGCGAAGAAGGUGGAGGAUGUAAUGCCCAUUGCAACUGGACUUGAGAAGGAGGAGCUUGACGCUGAAAUAAAGGUGGAGUUUUGCUAUUAGACUAAGUUACUGCAAAAGAACAAAACAAAAAUCUGUCAAGUGAAUGUUUUUUUUGUACUGCUCCUAAGUCUGAUGAUAUCUACCUCAAGCCUCUCGUAAAUGGGUAAAGACUCUUUUGGAAUGACACCAAAGACUUGGAUGCUACCAAAACAGAGGAGAUUGGAUUUAGUAACGGCUUUGCAACAAGUAAGAAAUGCUUAACCUUGAAGGAGCUUCUUCAACAAAGGUUUAUCACAUAGUCGUGCAUGUUGUUGUUAUCCUUGUAUGAUCCAAAACCUUAGGUUAUGAAGAUUAGAUAUUUAAUUGAAUGUAAUACAUGUUAUGUAUUUUUGUGUAAUGGAUAUUUUUGAUAUUAUUUAUGGAAGAAAAAAAGUUA